UAGGGAAUCUUCGGGCAAUGGGGGGCAACCUGACCGAGCAACGCCGCGUGAGUGAAGAAGGUUUUCGGAUCGUAAAGCUCUGUUGUAAGAGAAGAACGUGUGUGAGAGUGGAAAGUUCACACAGUGACGGUAUCUUACCAGAAAGGGACGGCUAACUACGUGCCAGCAGCCGCGGUAAUACGUAGGUCCCGAGCGUUGUCCGGAUUUAUUGGGCGUAAAGCGAGCGCAGGCGGUUUGAUAAGUCUGAAGUUAAAGGACUGUGGCUCAACCAUAGUACGCUUUGGAAACUGUCAAACUUGAGUGCAGAAGGGGAGAGUGGAAUUCCAUGUGUAGCGGUGAAAUGCGUAGAUAUAUGGAGGAACACCGGUGGCGAAAGCGGCUCUCUGGUCUGUAACUGACGCUGAGGCUCG
rnacentral:rRNA from 1 species